CGGACCUAGAGGGUUAGAGGUCAGGGGUCAGGGGUCAGACACCACCUUAAUAACCACCUCACAGGGAGGCAGUACCAACUGGUGGGCACGUACCUAGAGGGUUAGAGGUCAGGGGUCAGGGGUCAGACACCACCUUAAUAACCACCUCACAGGGAGGCAGUACCAACUGGUGGGCACGUACCUAGAGGGUUAGAGGUCAGGGGUCAGACACCACCUCACAGGGAGGCAGUACCAACUGGUGGGCACGUACCUAGAGGGUUAGAGGUCAGGGGUCAGGGGUCAGACACCACCUUAAUAACCACCUCACAGGGAGGCAGUACCAACUGGUGGGCACGUACCUAGAGGGUUAGAGGUCAGGGGUCAGGGGUCAGACACCACCUUAAUAACCACCUCACAGGGAGGCAGUACCAACUGGUGGGCACGUACCUAGAGGGUUAGAG